rnacentral:rRNA from 1 species
UUCCGGUUGAUCCUGCCGGAGGCCAUUGCUAUUGGGAUUCGAUUUAGCCAUGCUAGUCGCACGAGUUCAGACUCGUGGCGAAUAGCUCAGUAACACGUGGCCAAACUACCCUUCGGAACACAAUACCCUCGGGAAACUGAGGCUAAUAGUGUAUACCACAGUCCACCUGGAAUGAGGACUGUGCCAAACGCUCCGGCGCCGAAGGAUGUGGCUGCGGCCGAUUAGGUAGACGGUGGGGUAACGGCCCACCGUGCCAAUAAUCGGUAUGGGUCAUGAGAGUGAGAACCCGGAGACGGAAUCUGAGACAAGAUUCCGGGCCCUACGGGGCGCAGCAGGCGCGAAACCUUUACACUGCACGACAGUGCGAUAAGGGAAUCCCAAGUGCGUAGGCAUAGAGCCUACGCUUUUGUCCACCGUAGGGAGGUGGACGAAUAAGGGCUGGGCAAGACCGGUGCCAGCCGCCGCGGUAAUACCGGCAGCCCGAGUGAUGGCCGAUCUUAUUGGGCCUAAAGCGUCCGUAGCUGGCCGCGCAAGUCUAUCGGAAAAUCCACCCGCUCAACGGGUGGGCGUCCGGUAGAAACUGCGUGGCUUGGGACCGGAAGGCGCGACGGGUACGUCCGGGGUAGGAGUGAAAUCCUGUAAUCCUGGACGGACCGCCGAUGGCGAAAGCACGUCGCGAAGACGGAUCCGACAGUGAGGGACGAAAGCUAGGGUCUCGAACCGGAUUAGAUACCCGGGUAGUCCUAGCCGUAAACAAUGCCUGUUAGGUGUGGCUCCCACUACGAGUGGGUGCUGUGCCGUAGGGAAGCCGCUAAACAGGCCGCCUGGGAAGUACGUCCGCAAGGAUGAAACUUAAAGGAAUUGGCGGGGGAGCACUACAACCGGAGGAGCCUGCGGUUUAAUUGGAUUCAACGCCGG